ACCGAACUGAAGAGAGAUCAGCUUCCUCAGACAACAUUGAAGAGAGUUCAGAUAAAAACUCUGAUAACAGCGUGAGAAGACACUUGCUGAUCCUGCUCAUUUGUUUCUCUGUUUUUGUGGUAUGGUUGUGUUGACUCUUAUUAAACAAAAACCAAACAGUUAUUCAGUAAUAAUUUGUUUUAAAAUAGAAGCCAAGGUUGUUUUUUAUCUUUACAGUAAACAUUGUUCCAAACCUCACUUGAGGUUUUAGAUCACGUCUAUUACUGAGAAACGUUAUGGUCAUAACCAGUGCAAUGGUUUCAUUCUUUAAUUAAUCAUUGUGCCAAUCACUGAAUAUAAUUUAAAAUGUAGGGUUUAAUGGUGAAAGAGCUCCUGUGAUAUGGCGAUGGGAUGGGAAGAGACAUAUCACAAAAGGAUUUAUGAGUUGCAGUGGUUUUCUUGUAUAAAUGAUUAUUUCGUAUCCAUCAUGCAUAGUGUCGACUGUACAAGCCUCUGGAGACAGUGUUAUGAUCUGGGGUUGAUCAGCUCUAGACUCAGCAAUGUUAUGUGGAAAUAAAAUGAAAUCAGCUGACGACCUGAAUGUACUGAAUUACCAGGUUAUCACAUCUAUGGAGUUCUGCCACACAAAUAAAAUCUCCAGUUUAUUUAUU